CGGCAAGAUGGCGGGUCCUAUAGAUAAAGCGGUACAGCCAACAAUUGUGAGAGACCUGCAAACAGCAUGGAAUUGGGUGCAGAGCCACAAAGAUAUGUUCAUUAAGGAGGUGACGGAGUCUGCCUUUUUGUGGAUGAGUUCCAACGAACAAGAAGAUGCACUCAAGAAGGUCCUGGGGGGUCAUUUCCCAGAAGACAGAGAUAACUUUUUGUUUGUGUUUCAACCUUUCAAAGACAUAAAAAAUAUUUUUGUAAACCUGUGUUUAUUUAAACCAUUUUUCAUUUAUUUGUUUAUUAAACUAAAUUUUUGUCACAUUAACUGUGACGUAAUGUAGUGUUGUAGGGUGGAGGUGGCCAGUAGAGGACGUAUUUUACUAUCAUGUCGUUCUGUUCUCCUGCGCAACCUUGAAGAGUGUUCCCGGUGGAAGUCGGGUGUUAGACGUCACAGAUGCUCUUAUGUUCCACAUGUAAAUAAACCCAGAGUUAAUAUUU